rnacentral:misc_RNA from 1 species
CGAUGACACUGAAUGUUAGAACAAUGCAUUCAAUUGCAACCCUUCUUCCUCAUAAAGAGAAAAAUCAUGACUUUCUACCACGUGGAAACGUACCGCAAUAAUAAUUAACAGAUAUUCUUGUCAAGAAGUCGAUGAAAUCAUAUGGUUUGACAGUUUCGGAAUCCUGUUGAGAGCGUCGAUCACUGCCAUUGCAAAGGACAAUGCGAUCGAGAAUCACGAGUCUAGGGACAUUUCUGAUCAAAUCCAGUUCAAAUCUACUGUAGUUCACUGAUUAUUGUUCACGAGUUUCAAUCGAGGAACGCUGAUAAACCGAGCAUUCUGUCAAGUGCACUAUCCACUGUACGUAAUAUCGGAAAGAGACCGCUGCCUGCUGUCUCGUCGGAAAAGAUGAGAGGACAAAAAGAGUCGACAGAUUAAAUAUCAGAUACAUUUCUUCAUUUUGAAAAAAUUAUUGUCGUUUCGUUCCUAUAUCGAUUAAUCGACGGCCCAAAGAGAGUUUAUUGUUAUUGUUAGAAUAGGCACGUGAAAUGUGGCAGACAUGGAAAGAUGUGAAAUAGUACCAGAUUUAUGGAUGGAUUAUAAGUAUAAUGCAUUCGAGAUACGCCUGAAAUGUGAAUAAUAGCAUUGGAAAGGAUACUUUGAUCGAAAUCUAUCUAUCAGAGAGAUAAAAGGUGUAGUGCAAUGAGGAGAUUCUGGUAUGCCAAAGA